GCUUCUUACCUACAUGCAGUUUCAAGGUUUAUUAGCUACUAUUUAAAACAUCAUCUUAUGGUAGCAAGAAGAUGCUAAGAUCCAGGUUAGCAACUGUUACAGUUUAGAGCUGAGUUAGAAUUAGUACCUGCAGAGUGAUAAUCUCUAAUCCAUUAGCUAUCCCAGACAUAGCAGACACAUUGUAAUCAGAGUUAAUUCUCUAUCUGUCUUUCCGUGACUUACGAAGAAGUCAGUCUUAUUCCAAUGAAAAACAGUAAAUGAAAAUUUUAGAUUUCAGUUUGACAUAAAAAACUUUCCAACACUGCAUGCACCUCAAAAAUGUCAGGGGCUGAACUGUUGGUCUGUUUUGUUUUCCACUCAUGUUUCCAUUUGCAGAUAUUAAGUGUAUGUUCAAGAAACCCUUCCCUGAUCCUUAUGAGUCAAUGUAAAUAAGUUAGUUGUGACAUUUUAUAGUUAUCUUGUUAGCUUCUGAUUGAUUUAUUUCAGGUCAGUGUUGUAUACCCUUCAGAAUAUUAUUAUUAUUGAAUCUAUGCCAAUAUGAUUCCAGAUUUAUCCCAAUUUCAAUUUCCUGCACAUUGAACCAGAACUCUUUUGAUGUUGUCAUUCCAAUUAUUAAUAGCAUUUUAUAGUACAAUUAAUUUCUAUUAAUCUCCUCAAGUUUACAUUUUUUCUAGGAUGUAGUCACCUAAGUUCAAUUGUUUUAUAUUAUAAUUAUAAAAUACAGAAUUAACUAUCACCCUCAGGUGCAUAUGUUAAGAAGACCUGUCAAGUAAUUUCCUCAAACCAAGGUACCCAGAAGCAAUGAUGUCAUUGUUAUUUUGACAUUUUCUCAUUAACUAAGCUUUGUUUGAUAUGAGUGAACCCUUUUGAUCUCUUUUUUAGCCUCUACUAAUUUCCAAUGGUCAUUUUAGACCUAAGCCUGAUUAUUUCUAAGGAGAAAGGGAGUUCGGUGAACGGGAACAUUUGAAUCUCCCAAAGUAAGAAUGAAAAAGACUCAAUCCCUUUUUUUAAUGUGGAAACUGCCCUUCUUCAGAGUCUCCAACAGGACCAGGGAGAGGCUGACUCUUCCAUACCACAUAAGGUCUAAUGUUAGUGCUCAAAUUGGUUUACCAGCUCUGCACACAGAAGAUUCUUUGGUGAAAGGAUACUGAGCACAGUUAUACAUGGGAGAGAGGAGGAUGGUGGAAAUGAGAUCCAUGCGACUAUGUAUGCAGAAAGCAACAAUCGGGUUUCUAAAGAACAGUGUAAUUAGACUCACCAUCCUUUAAUUGUCGUGUCUAAUUUUUAAUGAAUCUCAUUUCUAUUCAGCAUACCUUUCUUAGUAGCUACUUUUCUCUGUCAUUGCUGAAAGGGCGGGGAAGAAUGCAGGGAAUGUGGUAGAAAGGGUGGGUGGGGAUCCAGUACCCCUACCUCACUACUGAGACGACCCAUUUUUUACCCAUUGUGCUCUCUGACUACAGAUGUCAGUAGGUCCCUAAUGAAGUAAGUUUGCCAGGUUUCUAACAAGAUUUUCCUCUUUCCCAAAGCAACACUGCAUACUCAAUGAAGCCUUUCCUUGAAUCCUGUUCUUCUUCUCCUAGUCCUUUAUUUGUGUAGUCAAUGAGCUCAGCUUUAAAUGAAAGCUCGAGUUGUAUGAAGUGAAUCAGCUGGAAAUAGCCGCGGAAAGGCGUGCAAAUCCAGAAUGGCAAGGUCCAGCUCUUCUGUUCCUCAAGUGGAGGCUAGCUUCAGUCCAAACGACUCCCUGGGCAACUGUUCAUUUAUUCCAAGGUUUUGUUCCUGGUAUGGAAGCAGGCAUUCAUAACCCAGGAUUUGCCAGCUAAACCAAGGAAGUACACAUCUUAUUCUUACCUUGUGGUGCCUCAGUACCCUUCUGAAACCUUCUUAGUACUGUGGGAACUCUCUAAGAAGGCGUUUAUAGCAAUUUAUAGGAACAUAGAAGUGAUUUUAGGUGGUCUUGACAGGAAGCAUCUACUGUGGCACCAAUGCUAAGACUGUUCACAGACAGUACAUAUAUAAAUUCAUCUCUCCCUCUCGGUCACAUCUUUACACACAGAGACACAUACUUGGGGUUUAUAAAAUUAUUUGUGGUUUUUACUACUUUAUUGGUCUUAUGUAAGAAAGAUUUAGUUAACUUGUACAGUUUGAAGAGUAAAUAUUGGUUAAAUGAACCACUAUUAUUUUAAGAUAGCAUCAGUUUAGACAGGUGCUUCUUGGCUGUUGAGUGCUAUUUUUGACACAGCAGAGUUUUGGUGGUAGAAGAGACUAAAGCAUAAUCAAGGUGACAUUUAGAAAGUCCUUGAGAACUGAAAAGGUGUAAGAGAAAAGAUUACCCAUGAGUCAAGAGGACCAAGGGCCAAGUAAGGGAGCUCAUGUUACUAAAACUAAAAGAAAACUCCAAGCCAGUCUUCUAGGAAGCAUUGAAGAAAGACAUAGGGAUUUUAUUACAAAUGAAUGGGAUGGGAAUAUCACUGUUUUUUCCAAAGAUUCAAAGUGGUCUAGGCAUUAGCUAUAUAUGUCUAUACAGAGCUUUAAAGAAUGUUUUAUAGGUCCAUGAAGGUUGCUCAGUGGGUAGAGGUGGAUCUUAUAAAAUGGCAGGAGACAACCCUUUCCUGAGGGCUGUCCUCUGACCUCUACAUACUUACCUUAGCAUUUAUGCGCUUGCAUUCAUGCAACUGCACACACACGCAAACACAUAAGUAAAUACAUACAUACAUACAUACAUACAUAUAUACAUACAUAUAUACAUACAUACAUACAUAUUUAAAGGAAGUUUUGCUCAUAGUUUUUGGUCAAAUGAAACAAAUUAAACGGAAUAUUUCUGCCCAAGUCUUUGUGUAGAACUCUGUGUUUUUUAUAGGGAAAUACCAAGUUAUUAGAGGAAAUGAUUUACUGAUUAUAUUGUAGAUGUUUGUACAUUCUAAGGAAAUUUUUCUUUGCUAGCUUGGAUAAUGACUAUAAGUCAAGUUUAUCGUGCAUGUGUAUAAAUUCUAGAAGACAAAAGAUAUUACCUGUAUACUACAGUAUCAACCAGCCUGCUCCAGAUAAAACAUCUAUAUGAGUUAUAAAUAAUAACUUUCUUACUAAGAGAUGGGCACCAAAGGAUAGUGAAAGCUUAAAAUUCAUGGCAAGCCAGUCCCACAAAGCUUGUGACAUUUGUCUAGGACAGACACAAUUUUGUCUAUGUGCAUUUCAUACUACACUGCAUCUGGGAGUCCCCUAAAGCCCACUCUAACUGGGGUCUCAUUGACAACUGGACUAUUGCAGCUAAUGUACUGCAGGGCCUUCUGUUCUAGGAAGGAUGGAAGCAGAACUGCCUAGUUUUGGUCAGUUCUUCCUUAUCUGAAGAUGUUGUGUUACCAGCUCACUGUACAGCUCUCCUAGAACUAUGAAAGAAAAAGAUUAAGCAAUGCCUCCAAAGCCAUCCAGGGGCUUGAGGUCAUGUUUCCUUAACUUUCUAAAUUAAUUGAACACUUUGUAUCAGCCAAUCAACACAAUUAAAUUCCUUUGUAAAAUUCUCCCCACAUGGAUCACUUUUAGAAGUUAUUUAUCUUGCAGCAGACACAUAGGAGCUUUCCCUGUGUGUUGGAGCAUGCUGCUGCCCCAAGAACUCCCGCCUCACACACGUCACUGAGAUAAGAUCCACAAUAUGUAUUCUUAAUCUUUCCCCAAAUGCAAGAUAGUGUGUAGUGCUAUUCCUUUGCUUGGUGGCAUGCCAGUGAACUUGAAAAUCUGCAUGCUGUUCUGUUAAUUAUGUUUUUAAUUGAGUCACUUCACCCGAGUGAGCAAAGUCACCAGCAAUUAGAAAUGUCGCCUGAACACAGAGGUUCGUAAAGCUGUAGUGAAUUGUUUUGGAAUAACACAAAGGCACAGUAGCACUCCUGGCAGUAGUCUUUUCCAUUUGUAGUUGAGGUUACAUAAUUCAGAAUAUGCUUUCUUCCUGAGCUGGGUUUUCCACGAACAUGAAGCACUUAUUCAUGGCUUGUUAAUAAAAGCAGUACUGUGUCCAAAUAAUGAUUCAGCUAGUCAAUACUUUUCCUUUGCCUUUCAAUGCCCCAAAUUAAGAAAGGUCGUUGAAAUUUCUCACAAGGCGGCAUUGCCAAGAACAUUAAACUAUAUUUUGUAAGCCAUAAACACAUGAUUUUUAAAAGCACUUUGAUAUUUCACAAACUAUAUCAAUUUUAAUCAUUGCCAGUCUCCCUGGGGUGGUUUAAUUUCUAUUGUGUGCUGCUGGCUACUCUCUUUGGUGACCACAUUUCAUGGCUGAAUAUUUUGCAAAGGCCACACGGACACAUUGCUUAUAUGGUGCUUCUGCCCCAAUUUCCCUUCAUGUCCUUUCUUCUUCAUGUAGAAAGUUGCAACUUUUAUCUUUUGUAAAAAAUAAAUGUGUAAGUAUGUAAACCAAUAAAUAAAACAUUUUCAAACUCUCUACCGCCUUUACUCCUACUGAGAAACAUGACUAUUUGGUCCUGUGUACUAAGAGAGGACUGUUCACUCAUUUAUCACAGUGAACCAUCAGAAUCAGCCAUUUCUUUUUUCUCCACCCCUUGCAAGUUCUAUUUUUUGAGGGAUCUAUUUCAUAUCUGCAGUUCGUAUUCUCAUGUAGCACACACCUACUUCAUAUAGAGGCUAUAAAAACUGGUGGACUAAUGAAAGUGUACUAAAAUAUCACACUCUGCAUUGAUGCAGGUCCAUCUCCGGCACUGAAAUAGUUCAGUCCAAAAGGUUUAUGCUUUUAGGAUAUUGGCCAUAUCAAAUUAAAUUACUGUAUCAUGUUACCAGUCCAAUCAACAUGCACAUAGUUUCAGGGGGUUGCUGCUGAACUCAUCUCUAUGCUGUGUGUUCUGUAUUCAUACGUGGGACAAUUUUUUGCAAGACUCAGUUUUAAAUAAGCGAGUUCAAGAAGGCUAGAGUAAGUGAUGACUUAGCAAUAUCAUAAGCCAGCUUAUAAGACGGUAUGACUCCAGGGAAAUGUCCUGAUCUUUUUACAGUAGACCAAUGUAAAGUUAAUAACAAUAAAUAAAAAAAAAAGAAAGUGG
rnacentral:lncRNA from 1 species